rnacentral:piRNA from 2 species
UGAAAAAGCAUAGUUGAUGUCACAGGCCC